rnacentral:rRNA from 1 species
GCUUGGGAAUAUGCCUUAUGGUGGGGGACCCCAGUUGGAAACGACUGCUAAUACCGCAUGAUGUCUACGGACCAAGGUGGGGGACCUUCUGGCCUCACGCCAUAAAAUUAGCCCAAGUGGGAUUAGCUCCCUGGUGAGGUAAUGGCUCACCAAGGCGACGAUCCCUAGCUGGGUUGAGAGGAUGAUCAGCCACACUGGGACUGAGACACGGCCCAGACUCCUACGGGAGGCAGCAGUGGGGAAUAUUGCACAAUGGGCGCAGCCUGAUGCAGCCAUGCCGCGUGUGUGAAGAAGGCCUUCGGGUUGUAUAGCACUUUCUCUAACGAGGAGAGGUUAAGUGUUAAUAGCACUUACCUGUGACGAUACUUACAGAACAAGCACCGGCUAACUCCGUGCCAUCUGCCUCGGUAAUACAGAUGGUGCGAGCGUUGAUCGGAAUUACUGAACGUAAAGCGUACGCACGCGUUUUGUUCAGCGAGAUGUGAAAGCCCCGG